GAUGAAGAACGUAGCGAAACGCGAAAGGUAAUGCGAAUUGCAGAAUCAGUGAAUCAUCGAAUCUUUGAACGCACAUUGCACCUCUCGGUAUUCCGGGAGGUAUGCCUGUUCGAGCGUCAUUUGUACCCUCAAGCUCUGCUUGGUGUUGGGUGUUUGUUCCGCCUCUGUGUGUGAACUCGCCUCAAAACAAUUGGCAGCCGGCGUACUUGUUUCGGAGCGCAGCACAUUUUGCGAUCCAGAUCAACGUACAGCGGCAUCCAAGAAGCCUUAUUUAACGCUCUUGACCUCGGAUCAGGUAGGGAUACCCGCUGAACUUAAGCAUAUCAAUAAGCGGAGGA
rnacentral:misc_RNA from 1 species